GACGAACGCUGGCGGCGUGCUUAACACAUGCAAGUCGAACGGAAAGGCCCUGCUUGCAGGGUACUCGAGUGGCGAACGGGUGAGUAACACGUGGGUGAUCUGCCCUGCACUUCGGGAUAAGCCUGGGAAACUGGGUCUAAUACCGGAUAGGAGCCAUUUUUAGUGUGAUGGUUGGAAAGUUUUUUCGGUGUAGGAUGAGCUCGCGGCCUAUCAGCUUGUUGGUGGGGUAAUGGCCUACCAAGGCGGCGACGGGUAGCCGGCCUGAGAGGGUGGACGGCCACAUUGGGACUGAGAUCCGGCCCAGACUCCUACGGGAGGCAGCAGUCGGGAAUAUUGCACAAUGGGCGCAAGCCUGAUGCAGCGACGCCGCGUGGGGGAUGACGGCCUUCGGGUUGUAAACUCCUUUCGCUAGGGACGAAGCUUUUUGUGACGGUACCUAGAUAAGAAGCACCGGCUAACUACGUG
rnacentral:rRNA from 1 species